CUCGCGCACAGAAACGUAGAAAGUUUCUCUGGCAAGGGACGGGACUUUCCUAAGAAAAGAUUUUGUGGGGACAUUAGUACUGCAGUUACACUGGACUGCAUAAAUGACGGAACAGUCUUUCAGCAGAGAAGUAACUGAUUGUUUGAUGUACUUUCUGAAACCACCAGCUCCACAUUAUAAGCAAGUUUGCAGUUAGGCAACAGCUGUCCUGGGACAGGAAAAGGAAGCUUUUGACAACAGUCUCCAAAGCAGUCCCGAGUAGUUUAAAACAGAAAGCAGAGAUUCAUCAAGAACAUCUUUGCUAUUACAGUGAAAAAGAGAGUAGAGGAGAUGGACACAAGAGAUGUGGACUGCUGAUGAGAACAAAGCAACUAAUGAAACUUCAAAUCUGAGUUUGCAGAGAUCC